AGUCAAUUAGGGGUGUUUUGAAAGCACUGAUUAGGUACCUUCUUUGUGCCUUUGGCUUUCAUUUUUACUUUUCGUAGUCCAAU
rnacentral:tRNA from 1 species